rnacentral:misc_RNA from 1 species
CAACCCUCAAGCAUCGCUUGGUAUUGGAUGUCACUGCUGUGGUGCAUCUCAAAACUAUCGGUGGUGGCAUUUAGCUUCUAGCGUAGUAAAUCUUCUCGCCUUGGAGUUUGAGUGUCUGACUGCUAGAACCCCUAUAAUUUAUCAAA